rnacentral:rRNA from 1 species
UGCCCUGUGCUCCGGGAUAACCUCGGGAAACUGAAAAUAUUACCGGAUAGUCCACCCCGCCUGGAACGGUGGGUGAAUCAAAGGUCACGGCACAGGAUGGUUCUGCGGCUUAUCAGGUUGUAGGGGGUGUAAAGGACCCCCUAGCCAUUGACGCGUACGGUUUGUGGAAGCAAUCGCCCGAAGAUGGAUUCUGAGACACAAAUCCAGACCCUACGGGGUGCAGCAGGCGCAAAAACUUCACACUGCAGGAAAUUGUGAUGAGGGAACUCCAAGUGCAUGCACAAUGUGUAUGCUUUUCCUAAUUUUUAAUCGGUUAGGGAAUAAGGGCUGGAAAAGACCGGUGCCAGCCGCCGCGUUAAUACCGGCAGCUCAGGUGGUCGUCGCUUUUAUUGGGCCUAA